CCGCCCGCCGCGGUGGCCACUCGGUGCUCACGGUGCCGCUGCCGCCCGGUGCCGCGCUAUUUCCUGCCCCGAGCGCCGCGGCGCUGUCGGGAUAUUUCCUGUGCUGGAGAGGAAGAAAGCCGCUCAUUUUCUCGUACGCUGCGUCUCUCAGCCGGGGUCCCCGCGGAGGGGAAAGGCUUGUCAGAGGAGGCUGCGAAAGGUUUUCGCCCGGACCUGCGACGUGUUCGUGUCACCCUCACCGACGGGCCGAGGCUAGCAGUGCCCACUCGGCGGCCGGGCACGAAGCGAUGGACGUCGUCCGGUUACUUUCCGAAACGAGCCGGGGGAGGAAAGCUCCAGCUCCGCCACAGUUCCGCCCUGAAGGCAGAGGCGCCGAGGGUGGUACUUUCCCGUUCCCCACUCCGGGAUUCUGCUCAUCGCAGGGUGCCCCCCCGAGGGGAGUGGGGGCUGGGGGGACCUCCCAGUCCCUUUCCCCGUGAUUAGAGCACUUCUGGAUGGCGCGAGAGGCCAGUUCAAGCGUUUUCGCUUUAGGGGAGGCUUUGAAACCCGAUCUACGCUUGUCCGGGCAGUGCUGUAACCUCUGAGCUGUGCCUUAGAGCCGCGAGCGACCCGCCCCGCAGAAUGCGGACUCACCGGCUCGGAGUUCAGCGGCUCUUCGGGUGGCUACCGGGUCCCUGUCGAUGGGGACAGUGUCCUAGGGCCGGCCGAUCCGCAGCAGCGGGGCCGUUUCCAUCUCGGUGGUGGACAACGUCCUGGGUCACGGCACCGACUCUGCCGGAUUUUUCCCCUCCUCCCGCUUCUCGGUCUCUUGCUUCAGAACUUCCUACAGCCGUGCCUUGAGCUCAGCGGGAGCCAACCGGGGAAAUGUCCAGGAAUAUUUUCAAAUACCUCUGGAAAAGUCUCUUUGUCUCCACUGCCUAAAGAGGAACGGAAGGAGGGAACGUCCCAACUGAAAUAGCUGGAGCAGAACUACUUCACCUACGUGCUGCACACUGGGCUGUGCAUUGUUUCUUUUUGAGGACCUGGUGUUCAUUAUGAUGAUGGAUAAACCUAAUCCGUGAUGUUAAAAGUCCUGGUUAUUUUUCAUCGGUUUAACGUGGCAGUCACCUCUUUUGUCUCAUGCAGUGCCUGGGCAUUCGGCGAGCCAUCAGAGCCUCGGGAGGGGCAACCCUCACAGCUGCUCAGUCCGAGGCAUGUACCUCUGAGACGUCCCAGAGUCAGAGGAGCUGAUCUAAGCCACGUGUCAAUCGAAAUUCCACCACCUUGGCUGCUUUUUCCAAAAUCUCAACGUCUCCCCGUGAAACUGGCAGCUUUUCAUUAUGGGUACAGGUGGUGUAAAAGGCCGUCUGUGUUGAUGGUGCAAUACUGUGAUGCUUGAGGAUCUGCCUUAACAUCGCUAGAAGCUGGAUUUCAUCAGAAAGUGAGAGUGUCACGUGCCUUGUAUUUGAGUAAGCAUGAAACAACUUUCCAGCGGUGCAGGUUAUCUUGGGGCGUUCAGUUGCUUCUUUGCAUACAAAAACAUUCUUAUCAUGAGCAAAGCUCAGAUGUCUGGCAUUUUUUUUCCGAGUUGCUGCUCAAUGGAUAUAGAAACGUUGCAGAUAACUACUCUAACACAGGAGAAAAGACAUUGCAUCCAGUACCCUUGGCAGCAAUGUUUUUUUUUUUGUUUUUUUUUUUCCUUUUUAGUAGCCGUUUUAUCGAUAAAAACAUCUUACUACUAUUUUUUUUUCUAAACAAGUUUAAUUUAGACCUUAGCACAGCGUACACCUGAAAAUAAAGUAUGCUGUUCUUUAUAUUCUCAUCCCUGUGAAUGUGGCAUGAAACUUUUCAUCCAAAGAAGAUCUACUUAUGUGAGGUAAUCUGAGGAAGACUGGUAGCCUUCAGCAAUGCAUUUCCACAAGAACCAGUGAUAAGUAGGAGCAGAAGAGCGAAAAGAUUCCAAUCAAAGCACAACAUUCCUAAAAGAGGAACAUUGAUGAUGAUCACUUCAGGAGCCAUCCUAUUGAUGGAACAAAAUGUUCAGAUUGAGAAGGAGGCGUUGCCAAAAAGCUCAGUUGCCAUGGAAGAAAAACAUCAGCCAUGAGUGGAAGGAAGGGACCUCUUUCCUAAAUUUGUCCCUGUGCUCUGUCCUUGUAAGACUGACAUGAACAACCUGUGAAGACCCUCUUCUCAGUGUUAUGCCUACAGGAACAUGUAGAUUUGCUAUAAGAAACGAAAAGAAGGGCAUGAGAAUACAGGAUGCUUUUGGAAAUAAUUCAGUUAAAUCCUCAAGGUUUCUGACAGAGGAACACUGAUCGCUGUCAUCAUGGGAGCUGUCUCACCAACCAGUAAAUGCAUUCAAUACAUUGCACAGCGCACCCAUUUGACUUGGAGAACAAGCAUGAAAGAUUAGUUGGCGCCUCAUUUUAAGUAAAUAUAAAGACUUCUAGUCAACUACUACAUUGAAACAUGCUGUGGGUAAGUACUGGGUUAAAACAACUGAACAAACAAAAGCAACUGAAAGUGAAGCAUAAGGAAUGGAAAAUGUCAAAGAUGAAGCAAACUUAAUGUGAUACGCAGAGAAGCACGAGAGGCAAUUCUCGCUGUGAGCCACAUGAUGCCACUCUGAGCUAAGAAACACACAAUACGACUGGGAAAAGGGAGGGGAACACCUUCUGGUGUCCAUGGGAGGAUUAUUAUUAUUAUUAUUAUUUUUUUCUGAACAAGCAGCCACUGAUACUACAGGUAAGUCAUUCGUACCCAAAAGGUAUGUAGUUGAGAUACAGAUGUAGGGUUCUGCACUGCUUAAUUGUAUGCUCUUUAUGCUGGAAGGAAUAAAUGUUUCCUGGGUACUGCCUGUAGGUUUCAAGCCUUCUGAUGAUUGUGUGCAUACCAACGGGGAGAGCUGUUUCUCUCACUGGUGACAAUCCCUUCCCUGGAUGUCAGCACAUUUGGAAAUAGAGGAAAUCUCUCAGGACGCACUAUUUAGUGGAUGUAAUCAUUUUGUACUUGACUUCUCCCCAGUUUGUGCACUUGCCCAGUUGGCUUCAGUCUAGGUCGUGUGCUCUCUUGUAGCAUGGCUCAAUCUAAAAUGUGAAUAGAUGCUGAAGUUAUAUAUCAAUGUCAGAGGAACUAAUUCUUUACAGCCACGUGUUUUUUUUUUGUUGUUGUUGUUGUUGUUUUUUGUUUGUUUGUUUUGGUUGUUAUUUUGUUUUGUUUUGUUUUUGAGGACUUGCCACCACUGAAAGAACUAAAAUAACUCAUUUAAAAAUAAAAACUCCACCAAUUAGACUGCUUUUUGCAGAUUUAUCUCAGCUUCUUCAUGUGGACUUGAUGACUUCUGAAUAUAGAUAAAAGUGUGUAAAAGACAAAUUGUUUGUGCAUCUGACUGCUCAGUGUUACAAUGCUUGACAACUUGCUUUACCCUCUGUAGAAGAAGAGAAUCCCACGUGGGCUGGAUUUGAGUAAGCACAAAACAGCUUUUCCAAUGUGUAGGUUAUUUUGGAUUGUUCCUUUGUGUAUACAGUCACCUUUAUCCUAGCAAAGCUCGGAUCACUGGCAUUGUGGGAUCACUUAUUUAAGCCUUUGCUCAGUGGAUGUGGAGGUGAUGCAGACAAGUAUUUGGAAAACAAAAGAAAGGACAGCAUGUCCUACACUCUUGAAAACAAUGCUUGUUUUGUUUUUAGCAGAUGUUUUGCUGAUUAAAACUUCCUGCUACACUUUUUUUGGAGCAAGCUUAAUUUAGAUGUUAGCGCAGCUCUAAGAUACUUGAAAAUAAAAC
ensembl:lncRNA